rnacentral:lncRNA from 1 species
AUGGCCACCAUCCGUCGUCGAUGAAAACAAAGUAUGUCUGGAAAGAGCUGAGUCGGAUAAAAAAUGCCGACUUGCAGGACACCAACGAGUUGGAACUCUCCCGGGAAGCCAUGACCCCGAUUGUGGCCAAUGGCGAAGGUGAAAGAGCAGCUGGAUGCCUCACAGAUGACGAUGCGAUCGACCAUCUUCUCUGCACCGUGCUAAAGAGCACCAAGUUGUGUUCACAUCGGCGCCGCAGCCACGGCCUCAUGUGGCGGACGACUUCCACGCCAUAGAGGGCGUGCCAGCAGUGCAGUUUAAGGAGCUCUAACGGCAAAGGUGAACAAGCUGCUGACGUGGGGGGCCGCGUUCACAGUGUUUGCGCAGUCGUUCAACCGCCCAGCCAUCCGUCUGGCCGGCUACCUGAUGUGUGCCGUGAUCCUGAAGACCGAUGUGUCGCCGCCCCCAAAGCAGUGGGCGGCGAUGACCGGCUGCGUUUAGGAGUGCACGGGGAGGGACAUGAGGCAGCACUUUAGGGACUUUCUGUCUCUUUUUGUGUUUGUGUUUCUGCCGGGUAGUUUUGCAAAGAAAUGGCGUUAACGCUUUUUCAUGCGUGUAGGCCAAGUUCAUGUCUGGAAGGGCAUGAGCGUCGUGCUGUGUUCAUCACCCUUGUUCAUAUGAUCAAUG